UACCUCUGUAUGCUCAGACUUUUCCCUCCCUGUUUUAAACGUGUCAAAAUCUUUUUCUAGUGCUGCUCACUGGAAUAAUAGGAACCUGACCAGAUGCUUCUUUUCAAGUCAAUUACCAAUGAGUUAACUGAUCUGGAAGAGGGAUUUCUGGGCACCGCAAGUUCCAGAUGAGGACAACAUCUGCAGAACUCAGUGUCAUAAAAAUGAUGCUGCAUCUAUGGUAAGAAGGAUUUUGAUAGACAUCAAAUCGUGGGGAUGUAUCCAUUAUUUUAAACUGGCUAAAAAGAGAUGA
rnacentral:lncRNA from 1 species